UUAAGCGACUAAGCGUACACGGUGGAUGCCCUGGCAGUCAGAGGCGAUGAAGGACGUGCUAAUCUGCGAUAAGCGUCGGUAAGGUGAUAUGAACCGUUAUAACCGGCGAUUUCCGAAUGGGGAAACCCAGUGUGAUUCGUCACACUAUCAUUAACUGAAUCCAUAGGUUAAUGAGGCGAACCGGGGGAACUGAAACAUCUAAGUACCCCGAGGAAAAGAAAUCAACCGAGAUUCCCCCAGUAGCGGCGAGCGAACGGGGAGCAGCCCAGAGCCUGAAUCAGUGUGUGUGUUAGUGGAAGCGUCUGGAAAGGCGUGCGAUACAGGGUGACAGCCCCGUACACAAAAAUGCACAUAUUGUGAGCUCGAUGAGUAGGGCGGGACACGUGGUAUCCUGUCUGAAUAUGGGGGGACCAUCCUCCAAGGCUAAAUACUCCUGACUGACCGAUAGUGAACCAGUACCGUGAGGGAAAGGCGAAAAGAACCCCGGCGAGGGGAGUGAAAAAGAACCUGAAACCGUGUACGUACAAGCAGUGGGAGCACGCUUAGGCGUGUGACUGCGUACCUUUUGUAUAAUGGGUCAGCGACUUAUAUUCUGUAGCAAGGUUAACCGAAUAGGGGAGCCGAAGGGAAACCGAGUCUUAACUGGGCGUUAAGUUGCAGGGUAUAGACCCGAAACCCGGUGAUCUAGCCAUGGGCAGGUUGAAGGUUGGGUAACACUAACUGGAGGACCGAACCGACUAAUGUUGAAAAAUUAGCGGAUGACUUGUGGCUGGGGGUGAAAGGCCAAUCAAACCGGGAGAUAGCUGGUUCUCCCCGAAAGCUAUUUAGGUAGCGCCUCGUGAAUUCAUCUCCGGGGGUAGAGCACUGUUUCGGCAAGGGGGUCAUCCCGACUUACCAACCCGAUGCAAACUGCGAAUACCGGAGAAUGUUAUCACGGGAGACACACGGCGGGUGCUAACGUCCGUCGUGAAGAGGGAAACAACCCAGACCGCCAGCUAAGGUCCCAAAGUCAUGGUUAAGUGGGAAACGAUGUGGGAAGGCCCAGACAGCCAGGAUGUUGGCUUAGAAGCAGCCAUCAUUUAAAGAAAGCGUAAUAGCUCACUGGUCGAGUCGGCCUGCGCGGAAGAUGUAACGGGGCUAAACCAUGCACCGAAGCUGCGGCAGCGACGCUUAUGCGUUGUUGGGUAGGGGAGCGUUCUGUAAGCCUGUGAAGGUGUACUGUGAGGUAUGCUGGAGGUAUCAGAAGUGCGAAUGCUGACAUAAGUAACGAUAAAGCGGGUGAAAAGCCCGCUCGCCGGAAGACCAAGGGUUCCUGUCCAACGUUAAUCGGGGCAGGGUGAGUCGACCCCUAAGGCGAGGCCGAAAGGCGUAGUCGAUGGGAAACAGGUUAAUAUUCCUGUACUUGGUGUUACUGCGAAGGGGGGACGGAGAAGGCUAUGUUGGCCGGGCGACGGUUGUCCCGGUUUAAGCGUGUAGGCUGGUUUUCCAGGCAAAUCCGGAAAAUCAAGGCUGAGGCGUGAUGACGAGGCACUACGGUGCUGAAGCAACAAAUGCCCUGCUUCCAGGAAAAGCCUCUAAGCAUCAGGUAACAUCAAAUCGUACCCCAAACCGACACAGGUGGUCAGGUAGAGAAUACCAAGGCGCUUGAGAGAACUCGGGUGAAGGAACUAGGCAAAAUGGUGCCGUAACUUCGGGAGAAGGCACGCUGAUACGUAGGUGAAGUCCCUCGCGGAUGGAGCUGAAAUCAGUCGAAGAUACCAGCUGGCUGCAACUGUUUAUUAAAAACACAGCACUGUGCAAACACGAAAGUGGACGUAUACGGUGUGACGCCUGCCCGGUGCCGGAAGGUUAAUUGAUGGGGUCAGCGCAAGCGAAGCUCUUGAUCGAAGCCCCGGUAAACGGCGGCCGUAACUAUAACGGUCCUAAGGUAGCGAAAUUCCUUGUCGGGUAAGUUCCGACCUGCACGAAUGGCGUAAUGAUGGCCAGGCUGUCUCCACCCGAGACUCAGUGAAAUUGAACUCGCUGUGAAGAUGCAGUGUACCCGCGGCAAGACGGAAAGACCCCGUGAACCUUUACUAUAGCUUGACACUGAACAUUGAGCCUUGAUGUGUAGGAUAGGUGGGAGGCUUUGAAGUGUGGACGCCAGUCUGCAUGGAGCCGACCUUGAAAUACCACCCUUUAAUGUUUGAUGUUCUAACGUGGACCCGUGAUCCGGGUUGCGGACAGUGUCUGGUGGGUAGUUUGACUGGGGCGGUCUCCUCCUAAAGAGUAACGGAGGAGCACGAAGGUUGGCUAAUCCUGGUCGGACAUCAGGAGGUUAGUGCAAUGGCAUAAGCCAGCUUGACUGCGAGCGUGACGGCGCGAGCAGGUGCGAAAGCAGGUCAUAGUGAUCCGGUGGUUCUGAAUGGAAGGGCCAUCGCUCAACGGAUAAAAGGUACUCCGGGGAUAACAGGCUGAUACCGCCCAAGAGUUCAUAUCGACGGCGGUGUUUGGCACCUCGAUGUCGGCUCAUCACAUCCUGGGGCUGAAGUAGGUCCCAAGGGUAUGGCUGUUCGCCAUUUAAAGUGGUACGCGAGCUGGGUUUAGAACGUCGUGAGACAGUUCGGUCCCUAUCUGCCGUGGGCGCUGGAGAACUGAGGGGGGCUGCUCCUAGUACGAGAGGACCGGAGUGGACGCAUCACUGGUGUUCGGGUUGUCAUGCCAAUGGCACUGCCCGGUAGCUAAAUGCGGAAGAGAUAAGUGCUGAAAGCAUCUAAGCACGAAACUUGCCCCGAGAUGAGUUCUCCCUGACUCCUUGAGAGUCCUGAAGGAACGUUGAAGACGACGACGUUGAUAGGCCGGGUGUGUAAGCGCAGCGAUGCGUUGAGCUAACCGGUACUAAUGAACCGUGAGGCUUAACCUU
rnacentral:rRNA from 1 species